UACGUAGGGUGCAAGCGUUGUCCGGAAUUAUUGGGCGUAAAGAGCUCGUAGGCGGCCUGUCGCGUCGACCGUGAAAACCCGCAGCUCAACUGCGGGCUUGCGGUCGAUACGGGCAGGCUGGAGUUCGGUAGGGGAGACUGGAAUUCCUGGUGUAGCGGUGAAAUGCGCAGAUAUCAGGAGGAACACCGGUGGCGAAGGCGGGGACUCUGGGCCGAUACUGACGUGAGGAGCGAAAGCGUGGGGAGCAAACAGG
rnacentral:rRNA from 1 species